rnacentral:rRNA from 1 species
CAGUACCGUGAGGGAAAGGCGAAAAGAACCCCGGCGAGGGGAGUGAAAAAGAACCUGAAACCGUGUACGUACAAGCAGUGGGAGCCUCUUUAUGGGGUGACUGCGUACCUUUUGUAUAAUGGGUCAGCGACUUAUAUUCUGUAGCAAGGUUAACCGAAUAGGGGAGCCGAAGGGAAACCGAGUCUUAACUGGGCGUUAAGUUGCAGGGUAUAGACCCGAAACCCGGUGAUCUAGCCAUGGGCAGGUUGAAGGUUGGGUAACACUAACUGGAGGACCGAACCGACUAAUGUUGAAAAAUUAGCGGAUGACUUGUGGCUGGGGGUGAAAGGCCAAUCAAACCGGGAGAUAGCUGGUUCUCCCCGAAAGCUAUUUAGGUAGCGCCUCGUGAAUUCAUCUCCGGGGGUAGAGCACUGUUUCGGCAAGGGGGUCAUCCCGACUUACCAACCCGAUGCAAACUGCGAAUACCGGAGAAUGUUAUCACGGGAGACACACGGCGGGUGCUAACGUCCGUCGUGAAGAGGGAAACAACCCAGACCGCCAGCUAAGGUCCCAAAGUCAUGGUUAAGUGGGAAACGAUGUGGGAAGGCCCAGACAGCCAGGAUGUUGGCUUAGAAGCAGCCAUCAUUUAAAGAAAGCGUAAUAGCUCACUGGUCGAGUCGGCCUGCGCGGAAGAUGUAACGGGGCUAAACCAUG